CAAUCCUGCUGCUAAGCCCCACCCCCACCCCUCCUGGAACCUACUGCAGCGUCCCUUCUUAGUGAAAGGACAAAUAGCUUGCUGUCUCAGGGUUCAGGACGGCCUGAUCCCGUGCCUCUGACUGGCUUCCUCCCAAGACAAACAGAGGAGAGAGAGGGACGAGUCUAGAGCGCUGGGGCCGCGCCUCCUCUGGAGCCGGCUCAUUCCUCUUCUCUAGUUGCGCAUUGGGUUUCUCCAGAAUAGGAGGGCUGAGCUUGGCCAGCUCAGAACUACCUUAGCUGCUAGAGGAGACCUCUGAGGAAGACUGAGGAAAGAGUACGCUGUAAACCGCCGCUGGUGUGUGUACUCAGGCUACUCUCAACUCAGGUCUCCAGAUCCUGUGAAGAAGCAGAGAUCCAGAGAGAGGACCAGGAGCUCUUGGGGCUGUUGAAGAUUCACCGGCUGAAUUUUGCUUAUGAACAAUCAUGCCAAUCCACCAUCUGCUUGCAACUGUCAGUCCACUCUUAAGUCGAAUUCUUGCUGAACUGUCCCUGUAGAUAAUUUAAGAUCUUGACUUCUCACCCUGUUAACCUGUCUUGUUCUCCUGGGCCUCAGAGCUCAGUUUCUGAAGCUAGGCAGGCCUUCACCUGGAAAUCCUCCCGGCUCAGUCUCCUGCAUAGCUGAAGUGUACCUGAGACACUAUAUGCAGCUUCGCUCCUCAGGCCCUGGCUGUCUUUCCAGCCUGUUGGUACACAUACCCAGAUUCACUGAGGAGGAACCAACCUCAGCAAAUGGGAUUGUUUAUUUCACAGCAGUGAAGGGCGGACGCAGUGGGCAUGACAGCUCACACUCUUGGUUGUCAGCUUAGUGACAUGCAAGGUUAACUAAACCCAAGCAGCUGAGCACCCUGUGAGGAAUUCUCUUCAUCCAAUUCAGGAAGACCUGGCUUUGUGCCUGGAGCAUCCCCCAUGCGACUGCAUGGUGGGGGUGGGGUGGGGGUGGGGUCAGUAAAGGGCUUGGAGGUGAAGCACUCGGGAGACAGUUUCAGGGAUUGGCUUCUGCUGUAUUGCACAUGAGCAGCUGUUUAUCUUGUGGAAGCCUAUCGGCUGUGAUUGGUUAGCACAUUACCUCAGAUCAGAUUUAUAUUGCCUGGGUCUCAGUGCAAAAGAAGCACACAAACAGGAGACUUGGAGAAUGCAGACACAUCAGCAGGCCAGCUACCACCUACGGAUGCUACUUCAGCAUUCCGUGUUCUGACUCUCGGAAUACCCAGGAGCAUGGUGUGCCAGGUGUCUCUCUUAGAAGCAGUGUGCUCAUAGUCCGACUGCCAGGUCAGGCGUGCAUUUUUUCCUACAGAGACCCACCCUAAAUCUGCAUCUUUUGAAGUGGGAGUAUCUACCUUAAAUCUGGACCACACCUUCUGGUGGCAAACUCCAUAAAGGACAUGGAAGAAGGACGCUUUCACUCUUUGCCUGCUUGCCUUGCUCUUCCCUCAUUGCUCUUCCAGCCUACGUAUACUGAAGACCAGCGGAGACAUCCAGGCUCGAGGACUGAACAAGUACUGGGUUCUUGGACUUUACUUUGGAGACAGCCAUUGUCAAACUAGCUGAACCACAGCCUGUAAGCCACUCUAAUAAAUCAGAUAUGAUUUACUCUUAUUCUAUCA
ensembl:lncRNA